rnacentral:misc_RNA from 1 species
AUGAUGCAGCGCGGCUAGCGCACGCGUUCUCAGCAACCGCUGCUGGUACGACUCCAGUCCCAAGGAUGCUUCCUGGCGUGAUUGUGGCCGCAGCCGAAGCCGCAGCAGCUGCGUGGGGCGAAAGCGGCGAUAUGCGCGCAUAGCUCCAUGGGCCCCAGUCUGCUUGAGGCUGCUCCAAGAACGUUCCUCUCAUUGGGGCCAGGUAAAACGAGUGCCCGAACGGGUCUAGGUGCUGAUCAGAUUCAUCAUUGCUGGGAGUACCAAGAACAGAGCAACCAGCUGCACCGGUAGGCGCGACACACAGCGAGCUGCUGAAUCCUCCAGGGUGCUGCUCGCAGACCUCUCCGCCUGGAAUCUCCAGCGGCGGGAGCAGCCUCUGGCGAGCGCGUACACCCCGCAAGGCAUCUUGCGUUGCUAUCGCUCGAGACGGUGACCUUGUCGCUGCGAACAUGAGCGGUGUCGGUGUCGGUAUCGGUGUCGGCGGUACUGCUGUAGCGCACUGCUCCAUUGGGGUAGAGGGCGCUCGGCUCAAAGCUCGUGUCGUUUGUGGUGCGCAUGUCGAUGCUACCGACAACGAAGUCGAUGCUGAUGUUGACGACGACGACGACGACGACGAUGGCGGCGGCGGCGGCGGUACAUGCAAGGCAUCCGUUGUCCUCGUUGCCGACAGGAAGCGUAGCAGCUCUGCAACGACCUCGUUGUGGCCAUGCUGCGCAGCCAGGUGAACCGCAGUCUGUCCGUUCAUGUUCGCUGCGUGCGCAUUGACGGCGGGCAGUACACCAGCGCCCCGAAUCCAAGCUGCAACCUGCAGCAAAAGGCGCACGCUUUCCGUCUUACCGUACUUGGCUGCGAUCAUAAGCGGCGUGUUCCCAUCCUGUGCAUCGGGCAUGUCAAGCACAUCGGCGGCAUCCCAGAGCGGUACGCCCUGUGCCACCGGUGGUAAACCCAAGCACGCGCGCACGUCUGUGACCGUGAUGAGUUCGCGCAGCACUUCGACAUGGCCAUAGCGUGCAGCGAAAGUCGCCGCCGUCCACCCUCGAGUGGAAGUUCUGCGCCUAGGAUCGACACCGUCCCACAACGAGAGCAAAUGGCGUACACAUUUCGCGUGCCCGUGCUGCGCUGCGAGCAUGAGCGCGGUGGCGCCCUCACCACAUGGUGCAUCGAGCACUGCCUGAAGCCACCGCUUUGCUGUGAUAGUGACUGUCCCAUUGGAGUCUGUGCCUGUCGUAAGGAGUGCAGAUACCCUAUGUUUCGCGAAUUCGACCAGGAGCGCAACCACAGCCUCUUGACCGUGCUUCGCCGCGACGUGAAUCGGCGUCAUCCGCUUCCAAUCAGCGGCAACGAGGUCCGCUUCGAUUCGGACGAGCUCUUCGCCACCGUUCUUCAGCGCCGAUUCGAGAAUGGUCUGCACAACCUGAAUAUGGCCAAAGCGGCAUGCGUAGUGCAGCGGAGUUGAGUUCUUCUUCCGAGACGGCGACACUGGGCCUUGAAUGGCGGUCAGGGACGAGUAAUUCGUGGUCGCCGAAGUUGGCGUGCUGAUCGUGGACAACGGUGACGCCAGAGGGCAUGUGCCUGCGCCCGCCGUUGCCAGCGGGCUUGGUUGCACUGCGCACACCAACCCUGGCGCCAGCGCUUGCGCAGCGGCAGGCGCGCACUUCACAUACUGGAGCCCAGCGGAGACGCACGCAGUGGUGCCGCUUUCGCUGCCGGUGUGCUCGCCUCGGAACGUGAACGCUGGGUCAGUUCGCUCAUCGAUGGAGCAUAGAGGCGGCGUUAUCUCGGCGGGCGCAGUUGCUCCACAGCGACUCUGUCUGAGCCCGGCGAUAUGCCCCGCGAACGUCUGCUCGUUCCGUGUACUGACGGCAGCGGCGCUUGCAAACGCGGGCGCAUUUGGGUUCGGUGCUCCCGUUGCCUUCGCCGACGCUCCCUGGAUGGCUGCAUUCGCGUACGGAGUAUGAACGUCCGCAGGGAUUCCCGAUACCGUUGCCGACGCCGGCGGUAGGCAGUUCGUCUCGAAAGCGCGGUUUCGGAGUGAACUUGCUUGAAACGCCUCUGCGACCCGAGAGGCACGCAGGCCGCCGACCCGAGCACAUCCAGCCGAACGCUCAGCGCCCGCUCCCGGCAAUCUACGAGCCACGCUGGGCAAGGGCUUGCGUUCUGCUUGGGACCUAUGUAUGGCAUCUUUGUGAAAUCUCUGCUCCUCGUUUGAAGCUAGCGAUUGCUCUGACCCGAGAGCAUUCCGGACCGAGAAGUGACCAUUGAUAUAGCUGCCAGUGCUGCUGGGUAUACGCUCCGUGCUUUGCGUUCCCAUCCGAGGCUCGCCCGAUGGUCGCCGUUCCAGACGCUCUGACGAUACGGGCUUUGCGCCCAGCACACCCGGAGUUCCAGCUCCGUGCUCCAUUGUGCAAUCCAAUGUUCCCAGAUGCAAUCUAUAUGCUAGCAACGAAGAAGUAGUAGGCUUCAAAGAAGCGAUGUCAACCGUCUCUUACCAGUAAGAGUCGGACAAAGCACUCAGCACAAAACGAAGCAGAACGAAACGGUGGCACUUGCGCUGCAGCGUGCCAGAGUGCGUGUCCAGCUGUCAGACACCGUCGUCACUUACGCGUCCGCUCUGAAAGCUGGACACGAACUUGCCCAAGGGCCUUGGCGAGAACGCGUCUUCGUUCCAAAAGCCUACUUUCGUAUGCCCAGUUUCCGAGGCUCCUUCACUAUAAGAGAGCAAAGUCACAACCAAAGUCGUUGAUUUGUUGCAACUUUCCCGCAACGUACCAAACUCGCGACUCUGCGUCUUGGUUGCGCUUUCACCAACUCGAUUCCAGUAGCUGGAGGCUAGUGUCCACAAAAAGCACAAGUCCGACGUGAAACUCGUUCUACGCAGGUAGAGAUGCUCCCAGAGGUCCGCACCGUCGUCGAGUCACCCCGAGGGCGUUGUCGGGUUUCGCGAACGAAGGAAUAUGUCGCAGUAGCAACGAGUUCCUUUCGAAUCCGAAACCUACGCCUCGUCAGUGUGUUUGGCCCGUCGAUAUCAAGUAUGCGUUUCCCCGUAUAUGAUAUGACGUAACGGCACAAUUGUCUGUUACUCGAAGAGCGAGCGACGCACGGACCGAUGCGCGGGAAAAACCGACGGAACGGAUGCGUGCACCGCCGUGACGCAGCGUCGAUUUCUCCUUCGACGACACGCAUUCGAUUUUGUGACACUUUAAUGUAACGCUCGCGGGAGCGCGCGCGGCCACCCCGCGGGGAUUUCGAUUACAUAGAGGUUAUAGAGUUUCAUGUCAAUUGUGUUCCACUGCCAGGUGCAAGUACGCAACUGGUGUUUCGCGGUUCAUAGAAGAUGUAUUCGGAGUGCGUUCAGUUCAAGAAAUAAAUACGCUAGAGGCAAUGGUUUCGACAUGGGGUUCGUGGAUCCCAGAGGCCCCGUAUUGCAGGUUUCGACAAAAAAAGUGAAAAAAUUCCUCUUCUUACGGAGCGUCGAGCAAAGAAGAGCGAUUGACGAAGAAGCAGAAGGGGCGAACUGGGCGAGAAGAGGUAUUUUCCGGACGGUGCGAAAAUGAGACUCAUGUCAUACAUAGGACGCUAGUCUUACGAAUACUUGCAUCGGUGAGUUCAACCAGAGGCAAUGAACGCAAUGAGUUCGUGAACCGGGAAUCUCACACCGUCAUUAAAAUCAGAAAAUGUGCGGUGCUGAACAUGAGAUUCGAGGAGCUGACGCGAUCGAAGUAACUUGGGCAGCCUCUGGUACUCGACGUGUCCAGAAAUAUUCUGAAACCGAUAAAAGUCGGCCGGUCAACGAAGGCGGGGAGGCGUAUGCGCGUGCGUAUACAUACAUAGCCUCCGUGGUCGUAGAACGUCUAUUGGUUUCACGAAACAUCGUAUAAAUGGAGCAGG